AAGAAACUGUCGGUGUAGGGUCUGAAAAACUCAAAGAUUUUGUGCUGUCAUCAACUUCUUCUCUUGCUAUUCACGGGAUUGGAGUCAAACUAACAGCCUACAUUC